rnacentral:rRNA from 1 species
AUACGUAUGGUGCAAACGUUGUUCGGAAUCACUGGGCCUAAAGAGCGCGUAGGCGGCUAGGUAAGUCAGAUGUGAAAUCCCUCGGCUCAACCGGGGAACUGCACCUGAUACUGUCUGGCUAGAGUGCAGGAGGGGAGAGUGGAAUUCCUGGUGGAGCGGUGAAAUGCGUAGAUAUCAGGAGGAACGCCGGCGGCGAAAGCGGCUCUCUGGUCUGUUACUGACGCUGAGGCGCGAAAGCUAGGGGAGCGAACGGGAUUAGAUACCCCAGUAGUCC